CCUACGGGAGGCUGCAGUGGGGAAUAUUGGACAAUGGGCGAAAGCCUGAUCCAGCCAUGCCGCGUGUGUGAAGAAGGCCUUCGGGUUGUAAAGCACUUUCAGUGGGGAAGAAAGCCUUGGGGCUAAUACCCUCGAGGAAGGACAUCACCCACAGAAGAAGCACCGGCUAACUCCGUGCCAGCAGCCGCGGUAAUACGGAGGGUGCGAGCGUUAAUCGGAAUUACUGGGCGUAAAGCGCGCGUAGGCGGUCUGAUAAGCCGGUUGUGAAAGCCCCGGGCUCAACCUGGGAACGGCAUCCGGAACUGUCAGGCUAGAGUGCAGGAGAGGAAGGUAGAAUUCCCGGUGUAGCGGUGAAAUGCGUAGAGAUCGGGAGGAAUACCAGUGGCGAAGGCGGCCUUCUGGACUGACACUGACGCUGAGGUGCGAAAGCGUGGGUAGCAAACAGGAUUAGAUACCCCAGUAGC
rnacentral:rRNA from 1 species